UUGGAGACUCCUCUGAAUCAGCUGCCUCCCAGCCUCCCACCCUGUGCCCAGACUCGCCAGCCACCCCAGACCUCUCUCACAACCAAUUCUUCUGGCUGGGCAAGGACUACAGCAAUCUUAUCACCAAGGACUGGGUGCAGCUGGACCGGCCUUUCGAAGAUUUCAUUGACAGGGAGACGACCCCUCGGAUGCCAUGGCGGGACGUUGGGGUGGUCGUCCAUGGCCUACCAGCCCGGGACCUCGCCCGGCACUUCAUCCAGCGCUGGAAUUUCACCAAGGUGUUCAUUCCCUCCGAUAGGGGCUGGAGGUAGGGAGGGAGCCAGGGCAGAUUGGCACCUCCUGCUGACUCUGCCAUCCCUC
rnacentral:sRNA from 1 species